CUUCUCCUCUCACAAAUCUCGGGCCCAUUUCUCUCCCUAUCAGUUCUGUCUCUCCUCUCUUUCGUUAACACACGCAUAUCCACAGCUCCGGUGACAAACCGGCGACCAGUGGUUGGCAGCAGGUAAUAUACGAUCAAACUUCGAUUUUUGUUACAUCGGAUGCAUAUUUCCGGCGACUGCGUCUUAUGGCGGGCUAGGAUGACGUCGACUGUUUGGUAACAUCCUAUUAAAUUUUAAAGCCCAGUUUGGAUCCUAAUAUAUGGAUUUCUUUCUGAAACAUUUAUCUGCUUACGGUUACAUUUGUUGCGCGUAGUAUCACAUCACUGCGUUUCUUGCGAAAAAUGAGAAAUAAGUUGGAAAAAAAAAUAAUAGGAUCUUGCUUUAGAUGACGAAGAUUUGAAAUUUUGUGGGAAGUUUUUAUUUGUUUUGCCUUUUGGGGUGAUAUGGGUAUAAUUAAUUUACAGAGUUUAUAUAAAGAUGUUAGUUUGAUCGUAGAGGAUGAAGAUAUUUUAUAUGGGAAAAUAGUAUCUGGAUUGAUAUAUUAAUGGCUAGAAUUGAUAGAUGGAAAAAAGUAUUCUUCAAAGAUCGAAAAUUGUCUUCUGGAUACUGGGAAAGGUUAUUCUGAUAACUGGGUCGUGAAGUUGGGGGGAAAAAAAAAACAAUUCAGCGAAAUUUUAUUCUUAGGUUUUUCCUUCUGGGGUUUGAUUGAUUUCUUCAUUUGUUUCGAGUAGGGUAUAAUAACUGGUAAAAUGGAUUGCAACGACCAAAAGAAGAAAAGGUUGGCAAGUUCUUCUCAUAAUGCAAAUAAAACAUCUUUCAAUUUUUUGGUUGUGGAGGAAAUGGAAAUGGGUUCAAGGAGGGAAGUUGAUGAUCAUUGUAGCAUUUUUGGAUCAAGUGAAUCUUUUCUCCCUGGUUUGCACGACGAUGUUGCCUUAAUGUGUCUUGCUUGGGCUAGUAGAUCAGAUUAUGCUUCAUUGUCAUGCUUAAACGCAAGGUUUAAUUCACUAAUUAAAAGUGGUUAUUUGUAUGAGUUGAGAAGGCAGCUUGGGAUUAUGGAGCAUUGGGUGUAUAUGGUUUGUGACCCUAGGGGAUGGGAGGCAUUUGACCCCUUUAGGCAGAAGUGGAUGAGAUUACCGAAGAUCCCAUGUGAUGAGUGUUUUAAUUAUGCUGAUAAGGAAUCUUUAGCAGUGGGAAAUGAGCUUCUGGUGUUUGGGCGUGAGUUGUUUGAUCUUGCCAUUUGGAAGUAUAGUUCAACUGGUCGUGAUUGGGUGAAGUGUGAAGGGAUGAAUCAUCCUCGUUGCUUAUUUGCAUCUGGUACUCUUGGUUCAAUUGCUAUUGUAGCUGGGGGGAGUGACAAGAAUGGGAACGUCUUGAAAUCUGUAGAGCUUUAUGAUUCUUUAACGGGUAAAUGGGAAAUGUUACCAAGCAUGCAUACUCCCCGUAGAUUGUGCUCUGGGUUUUUCAUGGACAGAAAAUUCUAUGUAAUAGGUGGGAUGACUAGUCAUACUGAUUCCUUAACUUGUGGGGAGGAGCUUGAUCUUAAAACAAGAAAGUGGAGGAAAAUUGAGGGCAUGUAUCCUAACAUCAAUAGAGUUGCACAGGCACCUCCACUUGUUGCGGUUGUUGACAACCAACUUUAUGCAGUUGAAUAUUUAACAAAUAUGGUAAAGAAGUAUGAUAAAAAGAAGAACUCAUGGGAUGCACUAGGACGACUUCCUGUCAGGGCCGAUUCCUCUAAUGGUUGGGGACUUGCUUUCAAGGCCUGCGGUGAAGCACUCCUUGUAGUGGGUGGUCAAAGGGCUCCCGAAGGCGAAGCCAUCGUGUUGAAUUCUUGGCAUCCAAAAUCAGGGGUCAAGAACGGCACAUUGGACUGGAAGAUCCUUGGAGUGAAGGAGCAUGCCGGUGUCUUUGUUUACAAUUGUGCUGUCGUGGGUUGCUGAGUACAUUUCCAAGGAGAACUAACGGUUUACUGCCUUAUGAUCCUGCUCUCAAGGUCAUCUUACUAGAUUUGAUUGGUCGAAUUUAUUAUUGUUUGAAUUACCUCUUUCAAGGGUUGACAUAAAGUGCUACUUUAGCUUUUUUAAGUGUUUUUAAAGAUUUUCUGCCUCUUUUUUUCAGAA